CAAAGCAUGUUCUUUUGCUUUUCAGCCAUGGGGAACAGAUGACAGCUUUUCCAUAACAACUUCUUAUCAGUUGCCUUUCAUGAGGAACAAAUGCACGAUUUACAUAUUAAAUUUGCCUUUUUAACUUUUAGUGUAUUGCUUCAAAUCAGUGUCAUCAUAAAUGGUCACACAGUAUCAACAGGGCUGAGAAUAUCAUGUGGUUCCGUCUUUCAAAGGAAGUUAUAUAAUGAAAGCAUAGUGCCUUUGAACAUGAAAACUAUCCAAGGCCAGAAGUCCUAUAAAGGAACUGAAAGGUAAGAGAUUCCAGAGAAUUUCUCUCAUUUUUAAUAUGUAAAGUAACUAGUUUAAGUCACUUUAUUGAAGACUUACUGAAGAAAACAGCAUUCCUUAUUAUGCCAUUGAAUAAAGCUACUAAGACCACAAGAAUUUAGAGAUAUUGAUCUUAGCUACAUAAUUGAUGGGUCAUUAAAAAAGGACCUGUCACUUAGUUAUUAAGUAUAAGUUAACUUCCUAUGCCAAGUAAGGGUCACACUUCACUUCCCUCAUUUGUAAAAAGAUAAGGUGGCCUGGCCAGUGCCAUUCAGGAUUCUCUGCUAACUGUAAAAUGUGGACUAUUUUCUUCUGUUUCUUAUAGUCCAUGUGUAUAUAAACUUUCAGUUCUUUAAAUCAAAAUUUUUAUGCACAUAACCAUGUCAGUAUAUUUCCCUUAGUUUAAAAAUGUACAACUACAUAAAUAAAAACUAUUGUUUCUUCAGUAUUA